CCUACGGGAGGCUGCAGUGAGGAAUAUUGGUCAAUGGACGAGAGUCUGAACCAGCCAAGUAGCGUGAAGGAUGACUGCCCUAUGGGUUGUAAACUUCUUUUAUAUGGGAAUAAAACGUUCCACGUGUGGGAUUUUGUCUGUUCCAUAUGAAUAAGGAUCGGCUAACUCCGUGCCAGCAGCCGCGGUCAUACGGAGGAUCCGAUCGUUAUCCUGAUUUCUUGGGUUUAAAGGGAGCGUAGGUGUAUUUUUAAGUAAGUUGUGAAAGUUUGAGGCUCAACCGUAAAAUUGAAGUUGAAACUGGCAGUCUUGAGUACAGUAGAGGUGGGCGGAAGUCGUGGUGUAGCGGUGAAAUGCUUAGAUAUCACGAAGAACUCCGAUUGCGAAGGCAGUUCACUGGACUGCAACUGACACUGAGGCUCGAAAGUGUGGGUAUCAAACAGGAUUAGAUACCCCAGUAGUC
rnacentral:rRNA from 1 species